rnacentral:rRNA from 1 species
GACGAAGGUGGCAAGCGUUGUUCGGAAUCACUGGGCAUAAAGCGCACGUAGGCGGCGUCGUAAGUCGGGUGUGAAAUCCCUCGGCCCAACCGAGGAACUGCGCCCGAUACUGCGAUGCUUGAGGGUCAAAGGGGUGCAUGGAAUUCCCGGUGGAGCGGUGAAAUGCGUUGAUAUCGGGAGGAACGCCGGCGGCGAAAGCGGUGCACUGGUUGACUUCUGACGCUGAUGUGCGAAAGCCAGGGGAGCAAACGGG